rnacentral:rRNA from 1 species
ACUAGAGGAACCUGUCCUAUAAACGACAAUCCACGAAAUCACUCACUUAUUUUAGUUAACCAGCUAGUAUACCGCUGUUUUAAGGUAUCUUAAAAAUAAUUAAACCUUAAUAGAUGUAAAAUCACAUUUAAAAAUUCAAGUCAGGGUGCUGCUAAUAAAUAAGAAUGAGAUGGGUUACAAUCAAACCAUUUGACGGAAUAUUCUAAGAAACAAGAUUAUGAAGAAGGAUUUAGUAGUAAAUCAAUUUUUAAGAAAGU